GUCUACGGCCAUGCCACCCUGAACAAGUCCGAUGUCUGAUCUCGGAAGCUAAGCAGGAUCAUGCCUGGUUAGUGCUUGGAUGGGAGACCACUUAGGAAGACCAGGUGCUGUAGGCA
rfam:Pteropus alecto contig79777, whole genome shotgun sequence.